UGAGGAACAUGACCUUCGGCGGGGGAUAGCCGGCCCAACGGCCGGGUAAUACCGCGUACGACCACAUGGGGACAUCCCUGAGUGGUGAAAGCAGCAAUGCGCCGAAAGAGUGCCUCGCGGCCUAUCAGCUAGUUGGUGGGGUAAUGGCUCACCAAGGCGACGACGGGUAGCUGGUCUGAGAGGAUGGCCAGCCACAGUUGGGACUGAGACACGGCCCAGACCUCCGUAGGGAGG
rnacentral:rRNA from 1 species